rnacentral:misc_RNA from 1 species
AACAAUUUAUUUUUUGGCAGUAAAUACAUUGGUUUAAAUAAGUUAUUACUAAAUGUCAGAAAAUAUGUUAAGAGAAUCAUCUGCAGAACUAAACGAAAGUGAAAAUGAUGAAGAAUACUUCUAUUCUUCUGAAGAUCAGAUAGAAAGGUUAGAGAAAAAGGAGAAACAAAAUUGUUGUCGCACUUGGCUAAAGUGCUUAUCGUUAACCUCAAUUAUACUGUCUUUAUUAGCCUUAAUUGUCGUUGCGAUUAUAGGAUUUGCAAUCUUACCAUAUAUUUGGGGAUACCGUUCUUGGGAGUAUAAAUUGAUGAAAUACGGUAAAAUCUGGCAACAUUUUAUGAAUCCAGAAAAUCCCACAGUUGUAAAAAUAUUUAUUUAUCAGGUAGAUAAUUACAAAAAGUUUUACAAGAAUACUACAGGGCACCCAUCGGUUUACACUCGAGGUCCAUUUGUUUAUAGGAAACAUAGGAGUAUUCUCACCGCAAAUAUUAAUCAAGAAAAAGAUACAGUAACAUAUAAAGCUCGAACCAGAUACGUUUUUGAUGAUAGCAGAUCGAAUAUGUCGCAAAACUAUAAAAUAAAUACUUUUAAUGUUCCUUUGUUGAUAAUUUUGUCUUUAAAUUCUACGAGGCCAAAAGGACAAACAAGCGCGGAUGGCAUCUUUCGAGACAUGGAAGCUUUUGGCUCGGAACAAUCUUUAGUACUGGAAAAUGGGAUCUCGGUUAGAGAUUUUUUAUUUGAGGGGCAACCAUUUUGUUUUCCUACAGAAAACAUUCAUGCUAGGGCUAUGUGUAAUAUGGUUAGAUCAGAGUUAGUCUCUAAAAGCCAUAAUUCCUUUUUUAGAAUAGGAGGUGAAAACACCCUUCUAUUUUCUGUAUUGGGAAGCAAACAUAAUUCGGAUGAAGGUGAAAUUUCCCUUUGUCUUGGAAGCAAAUCAUUCACAAAAAAAGAUACUGGUUUUAUCAAAGCAAUAAACCUCAAACAGGAAUUAAAUGCCUGGCUAUCAUAUCCAGACAGCACUUGCAAUAAAAUAGAUGGUUUUUACAGUUUUUUUCCGGCUGUAACUAAAUUUUACGAGGAAUUUUAUAUUUUCAUUCCGGAAUUAUGCAGCAAAUUCAAGUUUGUGAGAGUAAAAAAUUACACUCGAUAUACAAGAUAUGAGGUGGAUAUAAAUAGCUUAAUAGGAAAUGAAAAAGGUUACCAAUGUCAUGGUACUGGCACCGUAAAGGAUAUUGAUGAUAUUUAUAGAUUACAGUUGAAACGAGGAGCAACAGACCUGACCAAAUGCUUAGUUAAAUGAUACUGGCGUUUGUAUAAAAAUGGUUGUGAAGAUUCAAUAUAAUUUGUUUAUCAGGCAUGAAGAAGGAAUCGAAGUUUUUCAAAAUUUGAAAAAAACUGUAAUAGUACCAAUAUUCUGGUAUGAAGAGUCGCUAACAUACACAUACGAGCAAUUCGAGGAGUCAGCCCAAACAAUGUCGGAUAUUUAUGAGAAAAGAGCGGACCAACUGAAUUUGGCACGAUAUAUAGCAAUAGGAAUAUGUAUUUUUAUAGUUCUUCUUGGUUGUUGCAUGUUUUUAAUUCACCUAUGUUGUAAUCAUUGUAGCUUGUAGCAGAAAAAGAAAUAGAAACGAAUAAAAUUUAGAAAUAUUGA